rnacentral:lncRNA from 1 species
UGUGUCCCCGUCCCUCCCUCAUCUGCCCUCCCACCUCCCCCCGCCCGAGUUCUUCCCUCCCUCUGCAGGUUAGGGGUGGGGCGGGGGGCCGGGGCCACACCUCCCACCGGCGUCGCUGCCCGAGGGGUCCUCCCCCCGAGUGCCCCCCGGGCCGCAGCCGACUCUCUCCUCCCCAGCCUCCUCUCCAGCCCCGGCCCACCGUCAGGCCGUGCCGGGUCUCGUGAUUCUAUGUUGAACGUUAUUUAUAAAUAUGAGAGAAAUCUUUCCCUGAACACCACUGGGGAGUUUGGCCCCUCAGACCGCGGGGCGGGGGCCGGUGGUGGGGAUGGCUGCUGCUGCUGCUGAUCCCAGGGCCCCAUCUGCCCCUUCCCACCCCCUCCUGUCCUCUCCUGCCCCCUUCCUGUCCUCUCCUCUCACCGCUCACAGGACCCGCCUCCUCUGCUGAAAUCCCGAGAGGAUCCGAAGGCUCAGUUGGGCUCUGAGGCCAGGGACCUAUUUGCCACGGAAAUCCAGGACCGGAGCAGAGCUGCCACUUGCAGGGACUCUCACUGAGGCUGUGGCGGUCUUCCCUGGGUCCUGGAUCCUUCCAGCUGUCGGCGGGAGGUCCGCGGCCAUCAUUACCUCCUCUGCUAUUCCUUGGGAAGGGUGGGACCAGGGUCCAGAGCCCAGGGCCUGCUCCGUCGCCUUCCCCCCGGGGGCGGACAGGUGUGGGUCUGUGCAUGUGGGAGCACUGUUCUCCCCUUUCUGCUCUCCUCUUCAACUUCUCAUCCCGCAUUCCAGCCCCCUGCCCUGGGAGGGCAUUCUGGGGCUGAGUUUGCCUCUGUCCAGGAAUCCACUGUGGUACAAAGGAGGAGGAUUGGUGUGGCGGGGGGAGGAGGGAGUGUUCCUAGCAGCCAUGCAUCCUAAUCUCUCCACCCUCAAAUUAGGGCUCUUCACCUCAGCUGCAUCCUCCGAGACCCUCCCCUAGCCACCCCGGAAGAAGAGGGAGGAGGGAGGUCAGUCCCUUGAGCCCGGUCUCUACCAGCUCUGGACUCCAGGCUCCAUCUUUUCCACAUCUUUUGCCUUUUCCACACCCUCAACCCCUUCCCCAGUUCCACCUUCCAGUACCAGACAACCACUGUCUUCCUCCCCACACCCCAGCCAUAACCAGGGGCUAAGGCAAGGUGCCCAGAUUCCGUGCUCCUGGCCUGAGUCUCCCCUGCCCUUCCCCGUGGGGUCGGGAUGGGGUGCUGACAGAUGGGGAAGCGGUAAUGCUCCAUAAGGUAGUUUGGGGAAGAGCAGGCACCCUCCACUUAGACCUAUGCAAAGAGCAGGGAAGGGCUGAGGCGGGCAAAUUCCGGAGCGAACAGAGUUGUGCUGGGCUGGGGGUCAACACCUCGUUCUCUGUCCGGCUCCCGGGCUAGACCGUGGUUCCAGCAAGGCGAUGGACAAUCACGUGGUGGACUCGUCUCCGGGCGGACGGCCCUUCAGGUCCCCGGCCUCCUAGGGCACUGCACCCCUUCCUAGGGUGGGAGAACCUAGAGUCUUCGUUUGUUUUGUAAAGAGGAUGUGAAAACUGAACAUUGUACUGACAUUUUACUCAUCUGGGUCCCCACUCCCCUGGCCAGUGAAGGAGGGGGAACAGUCUCUCCUGAACCUGUCUCUAGCCCCCAGCCCCUCCCAGUUGGGGAUUGGGUUUUUCCUCUGGCCCCCAGGUUGAAUGUAUUUAUUACGAGAAUGGCUUUAUUUUAUUACCUCCCAUUUGUCCCCCUCCCGUGAGGCACUGGGGCUGAAGCAGCACCGCACAGGCUCUGUGAGUCCAUUCUGUCCCCUGCGCCCUCCUUCCCCCACCAGCAAUCAGUAAACGUCCAAAACCCAGGCAUCCCUGUGUGGUCUGUGGAGUUGGUCCCCAACUACCCCUGGAAAGGUCGGGGGUCUGGGUGGCUCUGAGCAACCGGAGGGGAAGGGGUGGUCGAACUCCAGCCCAGGCUGGGCUCAGGGCUGACCUUGGGCAAGUCGCUUCUCUGUGUCUCAGCGCUCUCCUUUGCAGAGAGAGGAUAAUACCCAUUCUCCUUCCUACUUAGACUGUGAACCCUAUGUGGGACCUGAUUAUUUCGUAUCCUCCCUGGUGCUUAAAACAGUGCUUGGCACAUAGUAAACCCUUAACAAAUAUCAUAGUUAUUCCUGCAGGGAGUUCUGGGGGAGACAGCUUGCCCAGAGCUGCAUCUACCCUUCCUCGCCCACACAGUUACACCCAGAAGCGAGUGUCUGGGCCCUGUAGCCCACUGAGCUCAGUACAGGCCUUCCGGCCUGCCUGACCUGAG